rnacentral:rRNA from 1 species
UAACCUGCCCAAGAGAUCGGGAUAACACCUGGAAACAGAUGCUAAUACCGGAUAACAACAGAUGAUGCCUAUCAACUGUUUAAAAGAUGGUUAUGCUAUCACUCUUGGAUGGACCUGCGGUGCAUUAGCUAGUUGGUAGGGUAACGGCCUACCAAGGCGAUGAUGCAUAGCCGAGUUGAGAGACUGAUCGGCCACAUUGGGACUGAGACACGGCCCAAACUCCUACGGGAGGCAGCAGGG